UACGAAGGGGGCUAGCGUUGUUCGGAAUUACUGGGCGUAAAGGGUUUGUAGGCGGUUGAACAAGUCAGUGUUGAAAGCCCAGAGCUUAACUCUGGAAUUGCCAUUGAAACUGUUCAGCUUGAGAGUGUUAGAGGAAAGUGGAAUUCCUAGUGUAGGAGUGAAAUCCGUAGAGAUCAGGAGGAAUAUCGAUGGCGAAGGCAGCUUUCUGGGACAUUUCUGACGCUGAGAAACGAAAGCGUGGGUAGCAAACAGG
rnacentral:rRNA from 1 species